CGAGAGGGCAGCCAAGUCGUGAGGCGGAGCUAAUCCCUUAAAGCCAUUCUCAGUUCGGAUUGUAGGCUGAAACUCGCCUACAUGAAGCUGGAGUUACUAGUAAUCGCAGAUCAGAAUGCUGCGGUGAAUGCGUUCCCGGGUCUUGUACACACCGCCCGUCACACCAUGGAAGUUGGGGGCGCCCGAAGUUGCCUAAGAAAUAAGGUACCUAAGGCGAAACCAAUGACUGGGGUGAAGUCGUAACAAGGUAAC
rnacentral:rRNA from 1 species